ACAACAUUCUCCCCAGACACCAGUAUCACACAGUACAACAUAUCCUCAAACACAGUAUUCAACAGGUACAACAUUAUCCUCAGACACCAGUAUUCACACAGUACAAACAUUAUCCCAGACACAGUAUCACACAGGUACAACAUUACAUUAUCCCCAACAGCAGUAUUCACACAGGUACAACAUUAUCCCCAGACAGCAGUAUUCACACAGGUACAAACUUAUCCCAGACAGCAGUAUUCACACAGGUACAACAUUAUCCCCAGACACCAGUAUUCACACAGGUACAACAUUAUCCUCAGACACCAGUAUUCACACAGGUACAACAUUAUCCCAAGACACAGUUUCACACAGGUACAACAUUAUCCUCAGACACCAGUAUUCACACAGGUACAACAUUAUCCUCAGACAACCAGUAUUCACACAGUACAGCAUUAUCCUCAGACACCAGUAUCACACAGGUACAACAUUAUCCUCAGACAGCAGUAUUCACACAGGUACAACAUUAUCCUCAUACACCAGUAUUCACCAGGUACAACAUUAUCCUCAGACACCAGUAUCACACAGGUACAACAUUAUCCUCAGACAGCAGUAUUCACACAGGUACAACAAUCCUCAGACAGCAGUAUUCACACAGGACACAUUCCUCAGCUCACACGGUCUGUCUAUACAUUACAGUGUACUACACAUGUCACACUUCUGAGCCAAAUGGAGCUGAUCAAACCAGAGCCCUCCUCCCCCCUAUGCUCCUUUCAGACCCCCUCUGAUCAAUCAGAGCCCUCCUCCCCCCUAUGCUCCUUUCAGACCCCCCUCUGAAAAUCAGAGCCCCUCCCCUAUGCUCUUCAGACCCCCCUCUGAUCAAAUCAAGCCCUCCUCCCCCCUAUGCUCCUUCAGACCCCCUCUGAUCAAAUCAAGCCCUCCUCCCCCCUAUGCUCCUUGUCAGACCCCCUCCUGAUCAAAUCAGAGCCCUCCUCCCUAUCUCCGUCAGACCCCCCUCUGAUCAAAUCAGAGCCCUCCUCCCCCCUAUGCUCCUCAGACCCCUCUCUGAUCAAAUCAGAGCCCUCCUCCCCCCUAUGCUCCUUUCAGACCCCUCUCUGAUCAAACAAGCCCUCCUCCCCCCUAUGCCUCCUUUCAAACCCCUCUCUGAUCAAAUCAAAGCCCUCCUCCCCCUAUGCUCCUUUCAGACCCCCCUCUGAAUCAAAUCAGAGCCCUCCUCCCCCCCUAUGCUCCUUUCAGACCCCCUUGAUCAAAUCAGAGCCCUCCUCCCCCCUAUGCUCCUUUCAGACCCCCUCUGAUCAAAUCAAGCCCUCCUCCCCUAUGCUCCUUUCAGACCCCCCUCUGAUCAAAUCAGAGCCCUCCUCCCCCUAUGCCCUUCGACCCCCCUCUGACAAAUCAGAGCCCUCCUCCCCCUAUGCUCCUUUCAGACCCCCCCUG
rnacentral:lncRNA from 1 species